rnacentral:rRNA from 1 species
UACGUAGAGUGCGAGCAUUAUCCGGAUUUACUGGGCGUAAAGCGUACCGUCGGUGACUUGGUAAGUUCUUUGUCCAAGCCUGGAGCUCAACUCCAGAAAGGCAGGGAAAACUAUCAAGAUUGAGUCUGUUCGGGGAACUUGGAAUUCUCGGUGGAGGGGUGAAAUCCGUAGAUAUCGAGAGGAACGCCAAGCGCGAAGGCAGGGUUCUAGAACACGACUGACACUCAGGGACGAAAGCUAGGGGAGCAAAAGGG